rnacentral:rRNA from 1 species
UACGGGGGGGGCAAGCGUUGUUCGGAAUUACUGGGCGUAAAGGGUUUGUAGGUGGCCUGCUAAGUCAGACGUGAAAUCCCUCAGCUUAACUGGGGAACUGCGUCUGAGACUGGUAGGCUCGAGGACAGGAGAGGAACGCGGAAUUCCAGGUGUAGCGGUGAAAUGCGUAGAUAUCUGGAGGAACACCGGUGGCGAAGGCGGCAUCCUGGACCGGUAUUGACGCUGAGGAGCGAAAGCCAGGGGAGCAAACGGG